rnacentral:rRNA from 1 species
UACGUAGGUGGCGAGCGUUGUCCGGAUUUACUGGGCGUAAAGGAUGCGUAGGCGGAUAUUUAAGUGAGAUGUGAAAUACCCGAGCUUAACUUGGGUGUUGCAUUUCAAACUGGAUAUCUAGAGUGUGGGAGAGGAGAAUGGAAUUCCUAGUGUAGCGGUGAAAUGCGUAGAGAUUAGGAAGAACACCAGUGGCGAAGGCGAUUCUCUGGACCAUAACUGACGCUGAGGCAUGAAAGCGUGGGUAGCAAACAGG